rnacentral:lncRNA from 1 species
ACAGAGUGACCUCAGAGGACUGAGAUGGAUAAAGCCAGCUAUGGUGACACAUGAAAGAUUAUACAUUUUGCAAGGGCAGAGACUGUUAGAUUUAUUUCCGAAGUCCUGGGAGCCAGGGCCUGAUGCAGUACAGAUGCUCGGUGAACAUUUGUGGAGCAAAUGAACAAACUCACAGCACAGCUUUUGUACAGCUUUGCCACAAAGUACAUACAAACUCAUUUCUAUAAUAUGCUUCAAAAACUACAUGUUCUCCUGCAAUUGGGGAUUUUCUGGUUGUUCUUUUUUUUUUCUUUCUGCUGGCUCACUUCUCAGAGCAGCUGGAGAAGGCUCUGUUUCCCUAGGGUCUAGAUCAUUUCCUAUAACAUUGGGGCUUUUGCUACUGUGGGUCCAGGUUUUCUGGGAAAACUGUGUUGUUGUUGUUGUU